GGGGGGGGGGGGGGGGGGGGGGGGGGGGGGGGGGGGGGGGGGGGGGGGGGGGGGGGGGGCCUCCCCGCCCUGCCCCCCGCCGCCUUCCAGCCCUCGCUGCGCUCCCUGUCCGUGUCCUGCCGCUGUGACCUGCUGGGCACCGUCCUGGCUCCCUGUGCCCGCUCGGGGAUCCUCUGCCACUGCUUCACAUCCCAGCAGCAUCCCUUCGACGUCACGGAGUUCCACGGCCGGGAAUGCGGGUCCCGCGUGGGGCUGGUGGCCGGAGUGGCUGGGGCGGCUGCGGCCGUGGCCGCGCUGGUGGCCGUGGGCGCUGCCGUGGUUUGGUACCGGCGGAGGAGAACAGGAGGGGGCGGAGGAGAACGGGAGCCGCGGUGGCCGGUGCGGGAAGGGGGAAGCAGGAUCCCGCUGGGAACCUCCGGCAGCCCCGUUACAUCAGUCGGGACACCGGGAUCGGCAGCGCCGAUGUCGCCGAUGCCCCCGACUGGGGGGGGGGGGGGGGGGGGGGGGGGCCGAUGCCCCCGACUACGAGAACGUCUUCGUGAGCCCCGGAACGGCCCCGGCUGCCGCGCGGGGAUGGGCACCGGGAUGGCAGGAGCAGCGCUACGGCCCGCAGGUCCCGCUGGAUGAGGAUUAUUUCCUGGAGAGCGAGGCCGAUCCCGGGGACCAGCCCAUCUACGCCAACACCCUGGGCCCCACCGAGGAUGUUUACAUCAUCCCUGACCAGGGCCGAUGGAGAGCGCCGGGUGCGCGGGACGUGCUGGUGGUUGGGGACAUCCGGUGCCACCUGCGCCCUCCUUUCCUGCUAAAUCCGCCCCUUCAGGGAACAAAGAAAAAGCUCAUUUUUUAUUCCUCCUGUGAGACCCAGAGCUGUUGGGUGCCAUGGGGACAGAGGGACCCUAUGGCUUGUCUGGAUGUCCCCCCACCCAGCCCCUGGGAGGCUUCACUGUGUCCCAUUAAAUGGUUUAAUUAUCUCUAAUUACCUGCAUAGCUCGUGGUCUGUGGGGAGGCCUGGGCAGGACAUGGGGUUUCCUCUGGGGAUAGUCCCUGGAGCUGCCAGAGCCUGUGUCCCCAAAGUGGGGACAAG
rnacentral:lncRNA from 1 species